rnacentral:lncRNA from 1 species
CUUAGUUUGCAGGUGGCAUCGCAGUCGAGUCUUGGAUUCUACUUUAAGGACUUGUGUUUGACAUCAGAGUCUAUAUCUUGGAUCCUUGCACUUAACAUGAAAGACCCACCACCCAGGAUGUUUUCAGAUCUCCCUGCUUCCCUGAUGUCAGACUGAGCUGAAAGAAACCUAAACCACCCACUGAGCUGCAGCAGCUGUAGAGGACUCUGGUGAUGUACAAGGCA